rnacentral:tRNA from 1 species
GCCGCGUUGGCCCAAUGGUAAGGCGUCUCUUUCCUAAGGAGAAGACUAUGGGUUCGAGUCCCAUACGUGGUA